AGUUUCGAUCCCUGGUUGGGGAACUAAGAUCCCACUUGCCACAUGUAGUGCCCCCCCCCCCCAAAAAAAAGGCAUUUGGAGAGUUGGUGGAGCAGGAGAUGUGGAUGUUUCUGAAAUGAAAACCGUGCUUCCUUUGGCCUCUACUUCAUCUGCUCUGUUUGGGGGUAUGUGCGAGCAGGACACGGCAGGAGAUCUGGGCUCCUAUUCAGAAGGCCACUUUCUCUGCCUCCCCUGUCCCUGUCCCUCUCCUGUCACCCAGCUUAGGCAGAAGCCAUCACGCCAUCAUCCUUUCCCCUGUUGCAUGGUGUACGUCCUCCACCCUAGCCCUCACCCUCCUGGCCUGCUGUGUUGUUGUCAGUUUAGAUGACCCAUAAUCUGACAGUAGAGCCCAUCUCCCCAGCCCCAGAUGAACUCCAAAAGAAAAAUGUACUAAACCAUAAAAUAGAAUUCUAUUUCCUGACACGACACGCAACACUGUAUGCUACAAUUAUUUCCUUUUGAGAUGUUCUCUUUCUUUCUUGGGGGGGGGGUGAACCCCUUCUUCGCUAGAGCCGCGACCAUGUGAUCGGUUGCCCACUGAGAAAACUUGAGCUGAUUGUGCAUGAGCACAGGCCAAAGCACCUGCCCGCUAGUCAGCCCACCAGCCCCGGAGGUGGGUACCACCCAGUGAUCCCUGGUUUCCAGAUGAAGAAUGGAGACGCAGAGAGGAGGUGAUUUGUCCACGGUCACAGAGCUACUCAGCUCUGCAGGAAGGCGCAAUUAUUCCAAAAAAGGACACUGAGGAUGCCGCCGACAAAUUGCCCAGCAACUAGAGCCCAGGAGCCCAGCUGCAGGCUUGUCUUCUUCCCAGAAGGGGUGUGAGAUGCAAGACUGUUUCCAGGGCGCCCCCAAAGGGCAAAGCCAGCAUCAGCGGGGAGCUCCUGGGGGCGGCCCGCUAGCCCCCCAGGCCUGGCCCAAGGGGCGGCACGGAUUGAAGGGAAGACGGUUUGGACCUCCUUCCUUAGUUCUGCAAAAUGGUGUCUGCGCCACGGACACGGGGGCUGCGGUGUUGCGUCCGCGGGGGCGAGUGUGCGGUUCCCUACGAGCCGCCUGCCGCCCCAACGGCUCUCAUCUCCACGUUUGGAUGACAUGUCCUUAAAGUGACCUAUAUUAUCUGGCACCUCGGAUUGCUACUCACAAAAAAAGUAACACUGGAAGAAAAAAAAAAUCCCCAACGAUUGUGUAAAUAUUCCUUACAGAGAAGAGUAAACUCAGGUGCCCUCUGCUGGGCGAGACAGGUAGGGGCCAAGGCCAGGAGGGAAGGCAGCUGGGGGCGGGGCCUGAGUGCGGAGGUCCCUGGCAUAGAGGCGGGGCCUGGCGGCCGCGGUGGGCAAAGCCUGCCUCCCCAUCUCCCAUUCUUGUGUGACCCACCGGCAGCCUUCAGGGCAAAUGGGGCCAAGCUGAGGUCUUUGGGGCAUGGGGAACGAAAAACCAAAACCGAAACUGCUUACGAGCAGAUCAUUCACUUUGGGAGAACUGACAAUUUCUUCACUGGGAUUUUCUUUUUUCCAAUAAAUAUUGUUGGAUUUGA